AGUAGCGGCAAUUAAGAUGUCUUUUUAUGCCAGGUGAAGUGCUCAGCAGUCUUCAAAAGCUUGCACACGGCUUCCAGCUUCAGCUGAGCCAACAUCUCAGGCUAUGACCAAAUGACCAGCAGAUAAGGAGAGAGAUCACCUCUCCAUGGGUCCUGAAAGAAUAUGGCUGCAGGAAGGUCCUAGACCUGAGGCACACAAAGACCCAUUGUCCAUUUAUCUCCUGGGAGAAGACAGAGGUCUUUCUAGAUUUUACAAGGAGCCCCCAUCAGAUGCAAGCAGGCAGCCAGUAUGUGGUCAGAUCACCUGAAUCAAGUCUCAGAUUAAGAUGAGACAACUUCAGGCAAAGUAUCAAUCAAUGAUGUGGAUUGAAUGACAAGUUAUCUAGAUGACACUCAUCAGCAUUAUCUAACACAGAAACUUAGGGCCUGUUCGUUACUGCAGAGGCAGCAGCAAGCUCACAACCGCCCCAUCUUCGGGACUUAAACAGCAGAUGUUUGCCCAAAGAUCUUCUCUGUUUCUGAAAGACUCG
rnacentral:lncRNA from 1 species